rnacentral:lncRNA from 1 species
AGAAAAAUUAAACCAAUCAACACCGUGUAAAAAUUAACCUGGCCUUCUCAUGCAUGUGUAGUAUCUUCUUCAGCCCACUCCAAGAAAUAAUCCAUCUCGGUGCCUUACUUCCUACACUUAAGGGGUGUUUGGGAACACCCUAUUAAAGUUUAACACCUGUCACAUCGGAUGUUUGGAUGCUAAUUAGGAGUAGUAAACAUAAGCUAAUUACAAAACUAAUUGCACAGAUGGAGUAUAAUUCGCGAGACGAAUCUAUUAAGCCUAAUUAGUCCAUGAUUUGAUAAUGUGGUGCUACAGUAACCAUUUGCUAAUGAUGGAUUAAUUAGGCUUAAUAGAUUCGUCUCGCGAAUUAGCACAAGGUUCUGCAAUUAGUUUUAUAAUUAGCUCAUGUUUAGUCCUUCUAAUUAGCAUCCGAACAUCCGAUGUGACACUGUUAAAGUUUAGCACCUCGUAUCCAAACAGCCCCUUAAAAGGACGGGCGGCCGCUCCCUGUACGGAACAGUGGACCAUGAGAUCCCUUCGUCUCCGACGCCGCGGAACGACGACAAGCUCGACCGGGAUAAGCUCCUACUCUCCUCGGGCUCGCCAUCUCCCUCCGCAGACCGUGCCAAUGGGAUGGGCCGGCGGCCGGCGCUGGGAGCCU